GCACUGCCUUGGAAUCUUGGUAUGUCUGGGCAUGGCCUCAGGUGUCUAGUGGCAGUGCCAGAGCAGACUGAGCUUGUUCAAAUCCAGAGCUGCUUAGAUGCCGCCUAAGCAAUUCCUUUGACAGCAAGCCACAUUU